GUUAAUGCAGAAUUGUCAUAUAUGUAAGAUGCAUGUUAGACACUUGUCUUUUUUAAGAACUAAAAUAAUUGUAUUAUUGUGAAGUCUCAUUUUUUUCAAGUAUGAAAUUAAUCAGCAGCGUGCUGCAUAAUUUGGUGUCUGUUAAGGUAGGAGAGUGGUGAACAGGUAAUCUAUGCAUAUAUCACUAGUGCCAAGACAUUAAGCAGGGGAAAAUAUAUUUU
rnacentral:lncRNA from 1 species